UAGUCCACGCUGUAAACGAUGAUCACUAGAUGUCCGGCGCUUCGGCGCUGGGUGUCCAAGCGAAAGCGAUAAGUGAUCCACCUGGGGAGUACGUUCGCAAGAAUGAAACUCAAAGGAAUUGACGGGGGCCCGCACAAGCGGUGGAGCAUGUGGUUUAAUUCGAUGAUACGCGAGGAACCUUACCUGGGCUACAAUGCCUUUGACCGCCCCGGAAACGGGGUUUCCCUUCGGGGCAAAGUGCAAGGUGCUGCAUGGUUGUCGUCAGCUCGUGUCGUGAGAUGUUGGGUUAAGUCCCGCAACGAGCGCAACCCUUGUCUUUAGUUGCCAUCAUUUAGUUGGGCACUCUAGAGAAACUGCCGGUGACAAACCGGAGGAAGGUAAGGAUGACGCCAAGUCAGCAUGCCCCUUACGCUCUGGGCUACACACGUGCUACAAUGGUCGUGACAAAGAGUUGCUAGUCUGCGAAGGCAAGCCAAUCUCAUAAACGCGGCCUUAGUUCGGAUUGCAGG
rnacentral:rRNA from 1 species